rnacentral:lncRNA from 1 species
GCCUCUUAUUGCUUCUUGCUACUAGAAGCUACCUUCUUCCUCCUACUAUUUAGACAGCAGCCAGCACACUGGGAGAUGCUAUGUAUAGGACAGCUGUAUCAAAUACACCAAAAGUGAUGGGAAAUCACUUCUGAGAGAAACUGUGAAAAGGCCUCUGACUGAAUCUUGCUCGUCCUCUAUACUCACCCUGAGGAAGCCAGCUGCCGUCUUGCUAAUUGCCCUGAAAGGUCCACAUGGGAAUGAACUGAAGGGAGGCCACCAGCCAGAAGUAAGCAAAGAAUGGAGGCCCUCAAAGUCUACUGGCAGUUGAAUCCUGCCAGCAAGCAUGAUGUUCUUUUGAUUACACUGUGGACUGUUCUCAUGGGGGUUGACCGUCCUUCACUAUGGAAGACAAUGGCAACACUUGAAGCGAGCAGAUUUUCAUCGUAAUGCCAAUACUUACAUCCUCAUCCUGCCCAGCGGGCUCCGGUCGUCAGGCUGUGCAGAGAGGGAAGAACAGAGGACCACGAGCCUCAGGAAACUUCCCACCACCAGCAAAUUGCGUGAGAUGAACCCAAUCUUCAGCCUCAUCUUCCUCCGGCAGAGGGCAGAGGGAGAUGUGAGACACAGAACAGCAAGCAGUAUAGUCACAGAUAGAGACCUGAGCAAUGUUGUCACAAAGCAAGAAGUGCUAGAAGCCACAGGAACCUAGAAAAGGAUUCUCUCCGACAGCCUCUGGAGCAAUGCAACCCUGAUGACACCUGAGCUUGCCCCAGUGAUAAUGAGUUUGACCAUCUGGACUCCAAAACUGGGAGAUAAUAAAUUC